CUGACCUAUGAUAUCAGCUGUGCAUCGAAUAACCUUGCUGCACCGGCCAGAUGUUGGACUAAAUUCCAUGGGAACAUUAAAUCCAUCAAUCAGGGAGAUAUCAUAGAAAUCCAAGUUGUUGAACUGGUUUAAUGCGAAUUCAGCCAAGGUGUUUGGGGGUGCACCAUAGGCUUUGCACUGAAGUAGGCCCCCACAGUCACCGGUUUGGCAUCUGCCUCGUCCGGCUCUGUCGAAUUGGCAAUUGGUUCGACCCCAGAUACGGGCUCCUGCAGUGCCAGGAUUCACUUGUAGAUUCCAAACUGCGCCUCUGCUCAGCUCUCUGCCACCACCAGGAACGGCUGCUGCCCAGACCUUGUAAGGACAGUUGUUUCGAAUGUCAAAACUGGCAGCACUGGCCACCGUGAAGCAGAGAGCAAUAAAAGAGAUUGAAAAUAGAGAGAGGCUUUUGAAGUUCAUCUUUGAUAUUAGCUUUCUACUUGUAUGUAGUGUGUUAGGAAAAGGUGGAUUUAUAGAGUUGUGAAUGCGGUUCAGGACCAGUAGCUAAUGUAAUCAUAUAAAUGUUACUGGAAAAAUAAUGUUGAAGUUAGGUAGGAAAUUAACGUUGUAUUGGCAUUAGAGGUAAAAGUCAUAUAGGAAGAAACUUCCAAAAUUCCAAAUUCCAAAUUCUUAAUUAUCCUUUGUGGAAUAAUCUACAAAUUAAUGAUUCUAUGCCGCUAGAUGAUAUGAGAUCAUUUAUGAACAAUGACGUGGUUAUGCCUACAAAUUAAUAAUCUACAAACUAAUUUUCCAACCAUAAUAAUUCACACUUAAUAAUAAUUUAUGAACAGUGGCUUGGUUAUGUCUACGAAAGAAGACUAGGACCAUAAUAAUUCCCACUUAAUUUUCCUUCAUUUCUUCUUCUUCUUCACCAAAAUUGACUUACAAAAAGCUUUAAAGUAGACUUCAAAGUAGAGUGUUGUAAUAAAGCUAACAAUUUACUCUUAUUUUUUUUUAUUUUUAAUGUUUACUUUUAUGAAACUAUAUGAAAAAGCAUAACAAAAGUUAUUGCAUAAAAAAUAUUUUUUAAGUGUAUUGGUGGUCCAUUUGUAAGUGUAAUGUGAAUUCUAUUAAUUUUUUUACUUAAAAAUAUCAAUUUUAUUUUCUUUUUUUAAUCUAUGUAUCUUAAAAUCUUAUUUUAAAAAAUAAAAUAUAAGUUUUUAAGGAAAUCAAAAUAUGAAAAUUAAACUUUGGGUUAACUUUUUUUUUUCAAUCACAUGAUUUUAUCUCUACGAUAUAAUGAAAAGAAAAGAUGAUAUAGAGUUUAAACCCAUAUUAUCUAAAUGCCAAACGAAAACUCUUAUCAUUACUCUAAAUAAGUCUUCACCAAUCAAAUCAUUUUAUUAUAACAAUUGAUAAACUUGUUUUUAAAACUCUUAUAAUUGAUAAACUUUUAUAAUGUACAAAGUAAUAAAUGAAAAAAAAAUGUUGUCCUAAUAUCCAAUGAAUUUACGAGUUCUAACUAGUAUCAAGAAAAACAAGCUUUAAAAAAAAAGUAAUGGAUAAAAAUUAUGUGAAGUGUAGCUUUCUUUUCCACUAAAUCGUCCAUUUUAAGGGGGGGGGGGGGGUGGGAAUUCAUGUUCUUCAGCACCUUACCUUUGUAAUCAAAUUUAAACCCAUUAAUGAUGAAUAUCCAUUUCAUGGUAAUUCAUUUUUUAGGAAAUGGAAUCUGAUUCAAAUGAAGACUAAAUAUAGGAACCAAGGUGAAGGGUUUGAUGGGAGGGAAUACCAGGACAAAUGGUGUCCUCUAGCUCUUUGGAGUGAAAGAUUAAGGGUGAUUCAAAGGGACCCUUUAUUUCUCUUAUAGAGUUCAAGUUUUAGAUCCACUUUAUUUCUCUUUAAUGGGUUUUCUUAUUUUUGAAUACAAUGAUUUUUUGUGCAUUUUUCCAUCUCCAUCCAAUAAUCAUCUGAAGAGCCACAAUUCAGCUUCACCAGACUCCAAAAUACCCAAAUUCACAAGGAGGAGAGGGCCAUACGGUCCCCAACCUAGGUCCCACCCCUUUCGAACACGGCACGCACAAUCUAGGAUUCAACCACCAUUGGGAUUCAAUCACAAUCCACCCUUCUUUGGAUGAUUUUACAAAGAGAACGAAGCUUAGCAAGAAACAAAAUUUCAUCAAUCGAUAACCUCUUCUUAUUGAACACGAGCUCGUUGCGAGCCAACCAAAUGGACCAAAGAAAAGAAGCGGCGCAGAUGAACCACCAUUGCUUUAACAAACCUGCAAAAUUCAUGUUAAAUAGCUUAAUUACAUUUUAAUUAAUGGGUAUACUACAGAAAUUGUCACUAAACUAUGGUUCAAAUUAUGUUUCGGACACUCAACAAAAGUGAUUAUUUAUUAUUAUUUUUUGUCAGCAAUAAUUUUUUAUUUUAUAUAUUUUUAAAUUUAUUAUUUUUAUAUAUUUUUGUUGUUUAGAUUUAGGAUCAAAUUGAGAACACUUGUAAAUUUUGAGGGCUAAUUUUUUAAAAUCAUGACUAAAUUGAUAUAAUAUGUAAAAGUUGUGGGCUAAAUGAUUGAACUAUACAAUGUGGGUGCUUAAAUUGCAAACUUUUUAUUUUGGGUGCCUAAAAUAAAAAAUUUUGAUAGUUGGGCUUGACAUUUUUUUGUAAUUGGAAUGUUUUUUUUUUAAUUUGGACUUUAUUAUUAUUAUUGUUUAAUUUUUUAUUUUAUUUGUUUGUAAUCUGAGCCCGGGCUAAAUUGGGCCUCUACAAUUGCAAAAAAAAAAAGGACCCAAGUAGACCCUGAAUGGAUGAUAGAUUAUAAAUGUGUGACUUGUUUACUUCAAUUUAAAUAAAAGCUUGAAUUCUAAUAGAUAAGCAACUAAAAGAUGAUGUGUUGGGUGUAUACUUCUACAUUAUAUAGCAUCUUCCAUAAUAGUGGAAUUUAUAAUCAAAUAAAUGGUAAAUAAUAUCUUCUCAUUGACGUUACAUGAUAGAUAGAAAGUAAUGUGGUCACGAGUCAUUUGUAUUAGUGAUAAAUGACUUAAUUAUCAUUUGUUAGUAAUUAUCUUUUCAUGAAGGAAGAUUAAUAGUUAUCACUAGAUAAAAUAAGUUCGAAGAGCUAAGUCAUGAUAUUUUAAUGGUUGUAAUUAAUAGAUGAAAAGUCGAAAUUUAAUUACAAAUUAUUUUAACUCAUAUUAUAAAUGUUCAGUCAAUUCCCCUGUAGCUCGAGACAACCAGAAACGACAAAUUACAUAAACUUUUACCCAUUAAUUCCAUAAACUCCAUAUUUGAAGUUUUAAUACAAUUUCACUUACUGCACGGCAUACACGUGCUUGUGAAAAAAACUUAUUUCUCCAUUAUUUAAUAUGUAACUUCAUAAGGCAGCAAGCAGCCAUUCAGUCAAGGGCAGAACACAACCCUGUAAUUGGUCCCACCAGGGCAAGUAAAUGUGCUUGUUUGAUCAUCUUUAGGGUAACUGUAAGCAUCGGGGCAUCUUGCCUUGAAGAACCUGGACAAAUCCGUUGGGCCACAAUUCCCUGAAUUGCAACAAUAUUGAUCUGUUUUGUAGACAGUGCAAGGGUUAUUGCAUCCACCUGGGGCUUUCAACUGAUUAGGGCACUGACCUAUGAUAUCAGCUGUGCAUCGAAUACCCCUGCUGCAACUGCCAGAUGUUGGACUAAAUUCCAUGGGAACAUUAAAUCCAUCAACCAGAGAGAUAUCAAAGAAAUCCAAGUUGUUGAACUGGUUUAAUGCGAAUUCAGCCAAGGUGUUUGGGGGUGCACCAUAGGCUUUGCACUGAAGUAGGCCCCCACAGUCACCGGUUUGGCAUCUGCCUCGUCGAGCUCCGUCGAAUUGGCAAUUGGUUCGACCCCAGAUACGGGCUCCUGUAGUGCCAGGAUUCACGUUUAGAUUC
rnacentral:lncRNA from 1 species